GAUGAACGCUGGCGGCGUGCCUAAUACAUGCAAGUCGAGCGAACAGACGAGGAGCUUGCUCCUCUGACGUUAGCGGCGGACGGGUGAGUAACACGUGGAUAACCUACCUAUAAGACUGGGAUAACUUCGGGAAACCGGCGCUAAUACCGGAUAAUAUAUUGAACCGCAUGGUUCAAUAGUGAAAGACGGUUUUGCUGUCACUUCUAGCUGGAUCCGCGCCGCAUUAGCUAGUUGGUAGGGUAACGGCGUACCAAGGCAACGAUGCGUAGCCGACCUGAGAGGGUGAUCGGCCACACGGGAACGGAGACACGGUCCAGACUCCUAAGGGAGGCAGCAGUAGGGAAUCUUCCGCAAUGGGCGAAAGCCUGACGGAGCAACGCCGCGUGAGUGAUGAAGGUCUUCGGAUCGUAAAACUCUGUUAUUAGGGAAGAACAAAUGUGUAAGUAACUAUGCACGUCUUGACGGUACCUAAUCAGAAAGCCACGGCUAACUACGUG
rnacentral:rRNA from 1 species